AUAAACACUGUACCCAAAUCCACGUUUUACAAUGCUCCUGGGAAAUGGGUAGGCCUCCACCUAUAGUCCUUCACAGUUUUACAGGUGUGAUAUAUUUAUUUAUUUACAUAGAUCACAUACAUAAAUAAAUAUGUUAGCUGUAGGUAGCGUUGAGAUCAAAUUCCCAUAUUCUAUUGCUACUAAACAUAUAUCAUGUUUUCCUCAUUUGCUCUGUAGGAGGUUCGUCAUAUGAAGGACAUUCAAGUGGAUGUGACCCCGAACCUGCAAUAGGGGCUCAGUGAGGUGACAGACAUCCUGUAAUGGAUCUCCAGCUAGUGUCUGAGGACCUGGAGAAGGCUGUGUCUACAGCUGUGGGGCAGGACAAGUAUGGUAUAGCAGGUAACCAACCCCACCCGGGUCUUACCCCCUAGGACUUACCCUUUGCUACCGGCUACCACCGGUCGUAAUACAAUGGGACUACUGAAUAAGCUCAGGCUUUCUAGAUUCGAAUUGACACAACCCGUACAAUUGGUGACACCGAACGUGAUCUGGUGAAGGACUUCGCUGGACAUUGGUGUGCCAGCCGAUUGGCCAGUACUGUCGUCGGACGCUGUCGUCGGACGGUGUGUCUCACAAAUCCUGACCGGUCAACUAAAAAAGGUGCUGCCAAAACCACAGAGGUCCCAGACGAACUUGAGCCAGACACACUCCUCUUCCACCCCUGGACCGAGCCUGCCACCCACCACCACUGUGUCAAAUCCCAUUCAGGUGCAGGUCUAAACCAAACUAGUGGUCUGGCUGAUGUGUGGUGGAUAUGUGGACCCAAAAGAGUACUGAGACCCAUUCUUAGAGGAGACUGGCAAGGACCUGAGCCCUAGGACCAUGCCCCAGGACUACCUGACAUGAUGACUCCUUGCUGUCCCCAGUCCACCUGGCCGUGCUGCUGCUCCAGUUUCAACUGUUCUGCCUUAUUAUUAUUGACCAUGCUGGUCAUUUAUGAACAUUUGAACAUUUUGACCAUGUUCUGUUAUAAUCUCCACCCGGCACAGCCAGAAGAGGACUGGCCACCCCACAUAGCCUGGUUCCUCUCCAGGUUUCUUCCUAGGUUUUGGGCUUUCUAGGGAGUUUUUCCUAGCCACCGUGCUUCUACACCUGCAUUGCUUGCUGUUUGGGGUUUUAGGCUGGGUUUCUGUACAGCACUUUGAGAUAUCAGCUGAUGUACGAAGGGCUAUAUAAAUACAUUUGAUUUGAUUUGAUUUUACAUACACAAUAAUCUGUUGGGUGUGCCGGUGGGGGUUCCUCAUGAGUUUCAGGCCUUGGGUAGGAAUGAUGGACUCUGGCACUUACUACCUAUUAUAGGUCCAGCCAUAGUGGAUGCAAGACAGACUGCAUGGAUAAAUUAUAUCUACUAUAAUCAACAGCGUUUUGUGAAUUACUCCCGUGAUGCACUCACUGGUAUGUCUGAACAGCUGGAGGCCACAUCUAGGGUUGCCAGACAGAAUAGACUUGCUUUGGAUAUGCUUCUUGCCAGUCAGAGGGGUGUCUGUAAGAUGUUUGGUGAACAAUGUUGCACGUUUAUUCCUAAUAACACCAGUCCAGAUGGUAGUAUAUCUAAGGCCCUUAGUGGGCUUGAUGCACUAUCUGCUGAGAUGAGGACCAUGGCGGGGGUGGAGGAGUCUGGACUGUUCUCUUGGUUGGGAGCCUGGUUUGGUAAGUACACUGAUAUGGUGGUUACUGGAUUUCUGACCCUAAUUCUUGUAUUUUUAUUAUUGAUGUGUUGUGCUGCUUGCAUCAUACCGUGUUUUAAGAAGUCUGUUACAGAUGUGAAGGCUUCAGGCAUGAUGCCUUUGCUUGAUGCUCCAGUUGGAGAUGCUGAUACUGAAUCAAGCUUUCAGGGGAGGAUGAGACUGACUGAGGAUGACCCAUGGUAUGCUGUGGGUGAGGUAGUAGAAUAAAUAUUACGUUUUUGUUUUAUGAUAAGUUCUUUCCAGUAUGUUUGUUCUCCCUGUUGUGAAGGUUUGGAGUCCCUGGGUGGCAUGAAGCCCAACUGGUACAGGAUAGGAGUAGCUGAGAGGACCAGAUGGUUUAUAAUGCUUUGCUCUGCUUUACUGUUUUCCAUGACCAAAGUUGUAUCCUAUAUCUUACAUAUCAACAAAGUGUUAUCCUGUUUUUGACCCUUAUGGGUGUCAAAAGGGGGAGACAAAAGCAUAUAUCACUUGAUUUUUGUUCCAUUUCUUUUGUUUCUGUAAAAAAUAUGUUUUAUUUAACUUUGUAUUAUUUUCAUGAAAUGCUGUUAACAUAUUACUGUUGGGAGCACUGAAAUAUAGGAUAAUGAGUGACACCCUUGUGGGUGUCAAAAGGGGGAAUCAAAAACUCCAGUUUCUAUAUAAAUGUUAAGGGACAUGCAUCACUUCAUUGAUUCAAAAUAAAGGUUUAAAGUUCCUGGGUUCAUCAGCAACCUAGUAUAUCGGAUGGUGUGGUUAAACCCCACAGGGGUGUAAAAAGGGAGAUUAUGAGGAUUGUGUUAUGCACUAUAGCCCGUUACCAUAUGUGAUUGAAUAUUAUCUGCUGUGACAGGCCGGCUCGGAAGCAGGAACUACCGAGUAUAUUUUAAUAUUUUUCUCAGGAACAAGUCAGUUCUGUUUUGCCCUGUGGUGGGACAGAGAGCCCGUAUAUACAAACAAUGCAUUUACCACUUAUUGCUUAGCCUCAUUGUCAUAUUUAUCCUGAUACCAGAUUCGAAUUGACGCAACCCUGACACGAGUGAAAAAAUAGAGGGAAAAACCAAAAAUAAACGGUAAUUAAAAAGUAAAACCCGUAAAGUUGUCAUGUAGCAAAGUAGGCAAAACACACAGCAACAAGUCAGAAAGUUGUGACUGAAAAUGGCUUCAGAAAUAAAGGUGAAAAUGCUGUUUGAGGUAUCAUGUGAUGCUACUAGCAUAAAUGGACCAACACUGAGCAAAUGUAGCUUAAGUCAAAUGGCAAUUUGAAACACAGGGGUCAGAGUAAUAUUGCUGGCGCAUUGAUAUAAUGCUAAAUAAAUGUUGCCAUCACCCCAGUUACUCAAGUCAGGUCAUAGACCUCAACUCCAAGUAGGAACCACCAAAACAAUACAGAGGACACAAGUAUUACAGUUAAUGUUUAAUUGAGCCAAAACAAGCAAAUGCAGUUACAGACUGGACUAGAGUACCCAUGAACUCUUGCAUGUCCCACGUCAGAUAUCCAUGUCGUCGCCGGACGGGCCGGUCGCAGCUUCAGAGGUGGCGUCGUCAGAGGACGGGCCGGUCGCAGCUUCAGAGGUGGCGUCGUCAGAGGACGGGCCGGUCGCAGCU